UGAGGAAUAUUGGUCAAUGGGCGAGAGCCUGAACCAGCCAAGUAGCGUGCAGGAUGACGGCCCUAUGGGUUGUAAACUGCUUUUAUAUGGGAAUAAAGUGAGGGACGUGUCCCUUAUUGCAUGUACCAUACGAAUAAGGACCGGCUAAUUCCGUGCCAGCAGCCGCGGUAAUACGGAAGGUCCAGGCGUUAUCCGGAUUUAUUGGGUUUAAAGGGAGCGUAGGCUGUUUGUUAAGCGUGUUGUGAAAUGUAAGAGCUCAACUUUUAGAUUGCAGCGCGAACUGGCAGACUUGAGUGCGCACAACGUAGGCGGAAUUCAUGGUGUAGCGGUGAAAUGCUUAGAUAUCAUGAAGAACUCCGAUUGCGAAGGCAGCUUAUGGGAGUGUUACUGACGCUUAAGCUCGAAGGUGCGGGUAUCGAACAGG
rnacentral:rRNA from 1 species